UAGAAAAGUAGCGAUUGGAACGGAUUGCUUGAGUUAAGGAAAAGGAUGUACGAGAGUCCGAGCAAAGAUGACCGUUUUCCAGGAUGGAAGGAUCAUGAAAAAGUUGCCAAGUGACAUGUUCCGUUCCAAGAAAGAAUCAGAUUUGGAACUGGAAGCGGGCAGUAGAAGAAAUUGACGAAAGGACUUUGUCUAAGAGGAAGCGGAUGGGAGGAAAAUCCUUUUUGUCAGUAUGGAAAAUCAGCAAGUUUAACAAGCCUAGUAUAUGAUGAAGCGAAAGAAUAUGAGUAUGGUAGGAAAUGAAAUGUGGUGAAAGAAA